AUGAGUAAUUUUUUUUAAUAAAGAUAUUAUAUAAAAUAAAUUUAUGUUAUUUUUUAUAUAAUGAAUUCGACAAUAUUAUUUUUAUCUGUUUAACAAAAACAUUGUUUUUUAAAAUUUUUAAAAAAUAAAGCCUGCACACUGAAUUUAAUUUUAAAGAGCCGCGGUAUUUUGACCGUGCAAAGGUAGCAUAAUCAUUAGUUUUUUAAUUGAAGACUGGAAUGAAAGGUUUAAUAAAAAAUAAGUUUUAUUAUAUAAAUAAAAAUUGAAUUUAUUAUUUUAGUAAAAAAACUAAAAUUUUAAUAAAAGACGAUAAGACCCUAUAAAGCUUUAUAUUUUUUUUUAAUAAAGAUUAUUUUAGAAUAAUAAAGUUUUUAAUUAAAAAAUUAUUAAAUUGGGGUGAUUUAAAGAUUUAAAAAACUCUUUAAAGGUUAUUUUUAUUUAUUUAUAAAAUUGAAUUGAUCUUUAAUAGUUGGAUUAAAAAAUUAAGUUACUUUAGGGAUAACAGCGUAAUUUUUUUAGAGAGUUCAUAUCGAUAAAAAAGUUUGCGACCUCGAUGUUGGAUUAAGAUAUAAUUUUAGGUGUAGAAGUUUAAAUUUUUAGUCUGUUCGACUAUUUUUUCUUACAUGAUCUGAGUUCAAACCGGUUUAAGCCAGGUUGGUUUCUAUCUUUAUAAAAAUAAAGUUGUAUUAUAGUACGAAAGGACCUAAUAUAAGAAUUUAAUUUUUUUUAAUAAAAGAAUUAAAUUAAAAGAA
rnacentral:rRNA from 1 species